ACACUUACCUGGCAGGGGAGAUACCAUGAUCACAAAGUGGUUUUCCCAGGAUGAGGCUUAUCCAUUGCACUCCAGAUGUACUGACCCCUGCAAUUUCCCCAAAUGUGGGAAAUUCACCUGCAUAAUUUGUGUUAGUGGGGAACUGUAUUCUCAUUAUCUCCUUA
rnacentral:snRNA from 1 species